GAUGGGCCCUACAAGGUUACUGACUUCAGCCAAACUCCGAAUGCCGGGAAGUGAGAGCGUGGCAGUGAGACUGUGGGGGAUAAGCUUCAUAGUCGAGAGGGAAACAGCCCAGAUCGCCGGCUAAGGUCCCCAAGUCGUGGCUAAGUGGGAAAGGAUGUGGGACUCCCAAAACAACCAGGAGGUUGGCUUAGAAGCAGCCAUCCUUUAAAGAAAGCGUAAUAGCUCACUAGUCGAGU
rnacentral:rRNA from 1 species